GGCAAGAUGGCCGAGUGGUCUAAGGCGGCAGACUUAAGAAAAUACACGUCCUGUCAGGACGUGAGAUUUCUGCUGAGGAAACUCGCGCGGGUUCGAAUCCCGCUCUUGUCA